GCCAUCAGCCAAAGCACCUUCUUUCCUCUCUACACUGCCCAGUGUCAGGUAUCCUGUUACAGUAACACAAAUGGAGCUGCUUCAGCUCUUCAGUGUUUCCAGGACUGGAGGAGAAGGGAAAUUUGGAAGGAGACGUGGAAAGACUUUCUGGGUAAGCCAGAGGCUGGAAAUAUAGAUGAGGUUGGGGAAACCAAGCACAGGCUACAGAGGCACUGUGUGUGGUCUGUGGCUGGGCCGUCCUUUAUCACUUUGUUUCCUUCAGUACUUCAAUGCCAGUGACAUGCAAGGUUUAGGGGUCCAUGGGGUUGGGGAAUCCUAAGUGAUUUCCUGCAUUCCAUAGGAUAAGAGUAGAAGGAUUGCUAAGAUGAAAGCAGGGAAUCCAGAGGUAAAAAUAAGGUGUUGCCCCCACAUGGGACACAUCCAGACUGAGCUCUGCAACCUGAUCAUGACUGUAGGAAGGCAGGGUGGCCACCAUCAGUCAUUAGGUUAUGAAGACUCUAGAACUGGACUGUGCAACAGGAAUGCUCAGGCUCGGAGGAACCAACUGACCAGCUGACCUAAUGACCCAGAUAUGAAAAAAAAACCUCCCAUUCCUUUAUUUAUACAGAGUAAGCGCACAGACUUGUACCAAGAGCAGCUCAUCCUGGUUGUCUGUGCUUGCCUGAGAGACCUGUAUAAUGAUGCUUAGUUUGUCUCAGAAUGCAUUGACUUAGUUUUAGACCUUUAUUAAACUGAUUUUCCUUUGCCUUUGGUUGCCUUGACUGCUCAUGACACCCCCUUCCAACAAUACCAACUCCAUUCCAAAGCCUCUUUCAAGUCACUACUCUGACUUACCCACUGGGUUAGUUCUUCCAAAUAAAGAGUCUUAUAUCUCUGAUACCUCUGCUCACCAUUCAGCCAACAGAUAAUUGUGUUUAUAUAUUUGAACAUCUGUGGGUCAAACAUUUCCCUGAGUAUCAGACCUAUAUAAAUAAACAAACUAAAAGUCACAUACUCACACACACACACACACACACACACACACACACACACGCAAAUGGAUGAUAAACUCCCCUUGGAAAGAUUAAAAAUGCAUCAUAUUGUGGGCACAUGGUAGUACAUAUUAUGUAGUCCCAACACUUAGGAGGCAGAGGCAGGAGUAUUAUGAAUUCUAAGCUAACCUAUAUUACACAGCAAAUAACUUAUCUCAACAAACAAAGCUUUUUCCCCCUAUUUUUUAAUAGCCACUAACAUAUUCCUCCUUCCAAGCAACAGAGUGGUACUUCUUAGAUGCCUGGUCUAAGGUCAGGCACCACGCUGAGCUGCUAGGUGCUGUUGGCACAGUAAAUACAACACUCCCUGCCUGUGAGAGAUGAAAGGUGAGAGAUAAACACACAUAAAAGUAAACCACAAAUAAUAGGUACUGUGAAGGAAGGAGAUAGGACUACUAAGAAAGAAUAAAUAGAAGAACCCGAUUAAGGUCGUGAGGUCAGCGUGGCUUCUCUAAGGAAACCACAUGUGGUGGUUUGAAUAUGCUUGACCCACGGGAAGUAGCACUCUUAGAAGGUGUGGCUUUGUUGGAACAGAUGUGGCCUUGCUGGAUAAAGUGUAUCACUAUGUACGUGGUCUUUGAGGGUUCCUAGUGCCAAGCUCUGCCCAGUGUGGAAGAGACCCUCCUGAUGGCUCCCUGCAGAAGCCAGUCUCCUGCUGGUGUCUUUUGAUCAAGAUGUGAAACUCAGUUCUUCCAUCACCUUGUCUGCCUGGAUGCUGCCACACUUCCCACCAUGAUGAUAGUGGAUUGACCCUCUGGAACUGUAAGCUAACCCCAAUUAAAUGUUUUCUUUUGUAAGAGUUGCCUUGGUCAUGGCGUAUCUUCACAGCAAUGAAACCCUAGCUGAGAGGCCACAUUUCCAAUGAUAUCAGGAAGACAUGGAAGGAUGCAGAAGAACUGGUCCGGUUGUGUGGGAGGGUAAAGGAAAAAUGUACACUCUCCCACACAUAUUGCAAAGACCCGUCAGUAAGAUGGUCCACUGAAGAAGCUCAGGGUGGCUGAAGACAAUUAGGAGGAUAUCAGUUAGCAAUGAAUUCAGGAAGCACUCAAGGGCUGCAUCUUAGAGAGCCUGCUAGGUCCAGAAGAUUAUUUUGCAUUGUACUUAAGUUCAACAAGCUAAUAAGAUGUUUAAAACAGUGGCUGUGGAAUGUUUGGGCCACUACAGCAAGGGUGGACAGACGCAGUGGAAAGACUUUCUCAGCCAAGUAAAAAGGUAACAUGCCUUGGUCUGUGGUGGUGGUGGAGAUGGUGUCUGUGUGAAAAUAAAACCGCACAGCUUACACUGUGGUCGAGGGGAUACUUCUAUUGGCCUUCAACAGCUUUAUUAACUGAAACACAUCAAUAUUUUAGAUAUCCAUAAAAUUUCUUCCUCGUGAGCACCUUCAUCCAACUUGUGGCAUUAGGUACUCAUUUUUUCUUGUGCCCUGGAGUUCUUAGCAAUAAUUGCAGGGUUUUUAGAGUGAACUCUCCCUUCGUUGCAAGUACUUUUGAUGCCUUGACAAAUUGUCUUACAUUUGAGCUUGGUAUUUUCUUAUGGCCCCUGUGUUGGUCAAACUUGCUUUUCCUGUGACAAAAAGGUCUGAGGAUAAACAGCUUACGAAGAGGAAAGAUUUAUUGGGUUCACGGUUUCACAGCUCAGUAAACUGGUUCCACGGUUCUGAGCCUCGGGUUCUGAUGGUAGACCAUGGUAGAGGAAGUUAUUCACCUUAGGUAGGGAGGCAACAGAGGAUGAGAAAGGGACAAAGGAAGAUACCUAUCACCACCACCACUACCACCACCUAAAAACCAAAACAAAAUAAACAACACCAAAACCCCACAUCUGGCUCCUCCUUCGCAGCCUCCAUCUCCUGUUUCACUAACUUCUGAAAAUAGCACCACCUGCUGGUGGCCACACAUUCUACACCUGACCUUGUAGGGGAAACUCUUUCUGGUGACUUAAGGAGUCAUGGUGUUGGGAAAGUAUUUUAAAAAACAAGUUCAAAGGCAAGAUGUGCCAGAUUCAGAAAAAGCAAACCGGGUUCCUAGCACUCAGAGUCCUUUGUAAUCUAGGACAAGACGUUUCCUGUCACUCACCGUUAUUAAGGACCUACCAUGUGCCAGGAUGACCCAUGUAACCCCAAAGGAGUGAUAAAUGACAAGGAAAGCACCCGUCAUGGUUUAAUGGGCACUUGGUCCCCAGCUGUUGGCAUCUGUCUUGAGAUGUGGAAACUUUGGGAUGCGGGCCUUAGCUGGUAGAGGUUACUAGGAGUGGCCCCUGGGACGUUACGCCUACUUUGUGUUCUCUCUGUUUCUCGAUUGAUGCUGUGAAGUGAGAAGAGCCUAGCUGCACAAUUCCUCCGCUGUGAAGGUCAUCAUGCCUUCCCUGCCAGGGCGGCCUGGAACUCGGAAGCCACGAGGAGAACAAAUGCUUCUCCUUUAUAGCUUUCUGUCAGGUAUUUGGUCGCAGAAGUAGAGUAAGUAACUAAUAGAGACCUUUGUGCUAGAACACUUGGAGCGGCUGAGUGUCUGUCUACUAGGUCUAGCUGAACCAGCUUCAGGCUUGAGGAAGCAGGACAGCCUUGACCCAGGCCACGCGCUCAGGUCUCCCAGGAGCACUUAUACGCACUGGCUGUUUCUUUGCCUUGUCCUCACCCCUCUUACAGGAAGACAGUGGCUUUGAAGAAAAUGUCUUGGCAAUUGGCUCAUAUGUGAUUGAUAAGUUUAUGGUUCUGGGAGGCAUCUAGGCAUCCGGGCAUGGAUCUCAGUAAUUAAUCCUAGGAGGUCUUUAAUGACAGAGGAGAUUGUACCAUGUGAAAGUCGCUUUAAUACUAAACAGCUUGUGUUAUCUAACAAAUGAGAACAUUUCACACCCAAUAAACGUCACUUUUGAUAAGUGCCACCAGUGCUCAUAAAUCUGACAAAUAACUCAGCAAGAUGGUACACAGGCUCGCCCUUCCCUGAAUCAUCCUUCACAUGGUCCCCUCCUCUCCCUGUGCUUUUAGGAGACAACAGUGCCAGAGUCCUCUCCAUCACCACAUGAGCCCUGGGGCAUGGAGUCUCGAGUGACUCUAGGUUCCGUCAAGUUGAGAGCACACAGCAAGAAAUUGCCCACGAAAUCUCACAAAUACUGUUGUCUGAACAAGAUCACUACAAUGGCCCACCCAUUGGCAUGCCAACAUGGACCUGGUCCCAUGCCUAGAGGAAGAGUUACAUGCUGACAACGACUGUUAAGAAGGAAUCUGUUCGUCUUCUCAAGGAAUGAGUUCCUAGGUAGGUUGUCCAAUCCCAAGGAGUUAAACUCUGAAUAAAUGUACUUGUGGACAGUAAGAAGCAGAGUUGGUAGGCUGCAUAUACAUGUGUGCAUACAUGCUUAUAUACAUGCGUAUUACAUACACAUACACAUUUAAAAUAUUAAUUAAAGAAGAUAUUAUGAAUCUGGAAGGAAGGAUGGGACAUAGAAGAAGGAGGGAGAAGGGUCAGGACUGGUAAAAAUAUAGUGCUCAUGUAUCAAGUUCACAAAAAAGAAAAGAAUGCUUGCCUGUGUUUGCAAACAUGGAGGGAGCAAGAGAGGGAACAGGAGGAAGGCGAGGUAGCUUUGAGAGCUGUGAAACUAUUUCCUGUGCUAUAGAUAAUGGUGGUUACAUUUAAUAAUAAUGUAUCAAUAUUGGCUCAUCAUAGUGUCUUAGCAUUGGCUUACAUAGAGUGUCACUUAUGAAAACUUUGGUGGUACCACAUGGAAACUCUGUUAACAAGAACAGCCACAUAAGCUAGACUUAAUGCCCUUUGUGUGUUCUGGGCUCAGCACUUACCUCAUUAGGCAUCUUCAGUCUUAGAAGAAUUAAGUCAUGUUCGUAGCAGAAGGAGGCAAUAGCCUUUUACUUCAUUCCUCCUCCUUUCUACUCUAAAGGGGAAGACUAACGAGGAAGCUCCUGUUGUCAGAAUAACAACAAGGGCAUUUUCUGGCAGUCAGUUCAUGAGAAAAUGUGUCCUGUAAUUGGAGCAUCCGAGACUCACCCAGCAUCUGUGGUACAAAUGAGCCUUCUCAGUAUGUGUACAAAUGUUAGCGUAAUUAUUGCAGCUAAUAUGAAUGCAGCCCGGCCAACUUCUUCAUUGGAAAUUCAGUCCUAAAGAGGGCUUUGUGACCCCUGGGAUAGAGCAGAGCCCCAAGCAGCCUUGCAGUCUUGUAGGAUACCAGCACCAUGGAAAUGACCAGUCCAUAGGCUCUGGCAAUGCAGAGCUGGUCUGUGGGCCCAGGAUUCUUCCCCCUUCCUCCAACGUGCUCAAGACUUUUAAACCAAACCUUGGCAUCAUUGUCAUGAACAGUACACCAUGCCUCAGCCUUUUGCUCCCCUUUCCUGCCUCAAAAGACUGGAAUGCAGCGAGUUGCUCUCUCUCUUGUCCCAGACCUUCCAAGGCCACCCGAAGAACUGCCAACUCUUUUCUUUCUCCUCACUGCCAGUUGUCACAAGACUAGUUGUCAUGGGCCACAGUCUUGAAGCACAAGCAACCAUCUGUCUUGCAAAGUGGGAACUGGCUUGGAUGACACUGGCCCCAGUGACAGUCUGGCACAGAAUGUAGUGUUGGCAACAAAGAAAUGAGAAACACCUUUAAAGGAAAAAUGUGGGGCCAAAACUGUUACGUAAUCCUGAGAGCCGACCUUGAGCUAUCAAGCAAGUAAAGAGAUGGGUCCUGAAAUGGGGGUCGGGGUGUUAAGAAAAAUGGGAAAGGUAAAGUUCUGCCAUCUAAACUUUGCCUGGCACUGAGAAUAAAACAUAUGAAAGAG